GUGUGUGUGUCUUGUGGGUUGUGGUUCUGUGUAAAAGAGGAGGUUUAGUAGUUUAGUGUAGAGGGCAAGACAACAGAGAGACGUCACAUCCAGACCAUUAAGAGACACGAUGGCAUUUCAACAGUCAAACAGUAGAUUUAUUAUUUCAAUACAAAACAAACUCCAGUACUUGGAAAAAAAAGAAAAACACGAAAAUGUUGAGCUUUCAUAAGGUAAGAAGACUACAUUCAUCUUUUAGUCAUAACAGUGGCAUCACUCUGCCACAGACUUAAAACAGGCGCCGUCUUUCCCAAAUAUCUGGCCACAAAAACAGUUUAAAAAACAAAACUAAAAGGAGGAAAGUGAAAACCAACCAUGAAUCCACAGUCCUCACCUCUAGGACAGAGCGAUCAUUGAGCUAACUACCACAAUUAAUAAUCAUUAGGCAAUUUAUACUCUUCAAUACGGACAUCUUAAUAGCCAAUCAACUUCACUACAACCAUUCCACAGCCCGCAUUGCUGGUGGCAUCAUUGGCGCCGUGUGGCAAAACCACUCGGGCACGGAACCGGCCCACAGCUGGCCCAGAAUCGUCUCCCUAGCUGAGAUUUUCCACCCAAACUGCAGCUUCUCUGCAAUGGCAGGAAAACAAAUCUCUGCCUUGUUUUUUUUGUAAUACGCUAUUCACAGAAUAUAAUACUCCUGAAGUAACACAAUCAUAUUAAAAUGCGUCUGAUGCAAUACCACGGUUCUACUACAUGUUCCACACAUUAGUCAUGAUCAUUCCAUACACGGUGCUCUGGUUCUAAGAGGGAAAAAAGAAAUUCACCCAUCUGGCUUAUCCUGAUGAAGUUCUGACAUGAUCCUGAGAUGAGUCCCAGGGCAUUAGAACUUCCCCAGGGCAUUAGAACCUCCCCAGGGCAUUAGAACCUCCUGCAAAACCCCCCAGCAGCCUUCCUUUCACCAUGCCUAUACACAGGCCUCGCACUCCACAGUCACACUCACCCCAGGGGCUCAACACUGACUAUAUAUGGACACCUGAGCACCUGGACUUGGGCUGGGUUUAGAUAAGAGGUGUGUGUGUGUGUGUGUUGUGUGUGUGUGUGUGUGUGUGUUUAGUCACACAGGAAGCUGAGGUAGCUAGGGACACUGGAGGUCCAGAGCAGAACAGAGGUGAAGCUGUGAGCCACAGUGACAAACUGAAGUCACUGAGGUCAUUUCCUGUGGAGCGUGUGCUUUUACAUGUUCAGUGUUUAAAAGACUUUUAACGACCUGAGAUCACUUCUCAGUAACGAUCCGGAUCAGACCAGAUCAAGAGUCACUGGAGAAGCAAAGCAAUGCAGUUCAUCACAGAUAAAAAAAUUUCAUCAGGAAACCUAAAAAACUUGUAAUGCUUGAAUUUAAAAUAAAGCUUCAUUAGGGGGUCACUGUGUUACAAAAGUCACGAGGGCAGAUCAUUCAGUUAGCGUGUGUUCAAUCACAUCUUUAAACAAAUUCUAAUGACCAUUCAGGAUGAAAACCACAAAAAUGAAAUUCUCCACAUGGCGAAUCCAAACAAUCUUGUCUCAUGCUAGCCAGUACCAAAAUACCUGAGACCCAGGAGAAGAACAAUAAAGCCGUUUUUUUUUACACUGCCCUCUACUGGAGGUUUAACGAACAGCAUCAUUCAUAGUGUUUACCCUUAUCAAAAACAGGUAGGGACAAAGGCAGGGGAUUCACAUUGUUAGUGGAUAUUUAGGUAUUAAUGAAUAAGAACACAACAUAAGGAAAUAAUAACAUCAAUACAAAAUAAACAAAAGUAUAAUGUCAGCUUUCUGUCAAGAAAAGAACAACAAAAUUUCCAACAGUCACCACAAAUCACGAGGGACUGCCUGAGGUCAUUGGUUAUGUGGGAACAAAUAAACACACACAAACAAACAAACAAAAUAAACACAUAUCAACAUUAAAGACCAAAAACCCGUACGAAGGAGGGGAAGUGUUGAGGCUAUCAGCAUAUAUCAUAUAUUGCAACAUCCUUUUGGGUAGGAGCAAACUGAAAACACUAAAGGGCGAUAUAUAUAACAGGAAGUGAUCAUCACAGGCACAAACCACAAACCUAUCUUAUUCACUCGCUUACACUCACACAGUGUCGUUCGCAGGCUAUAAUGCAUACCCAAUUGGUCCCUACCUUACAGAGACUCUCUCUCCCCCUUAUGGCAGACCUGCUCCUGAAAACUCCUCAACCAAACCUGAGUCAAACGGUCCACUCUGGAGAAGACAAACCCCCUCACAGCUAAAGAGCACAACCGUGCUCUGACAUCAAAAAAAGAGACAACCAACCAACCAACCAACCCAGUCAGUAUAGCCAGAAAGCGCGCGCGCACACACACACACACACACACACACACACACACACACUCUUACCAGUCAGUAUAGCCAGAAAGGACACACACACACAACAGUAAACCCAGUCUUACCAGUCAGUAUAGCCAGAAAGCAAGCAUACACACACACACAAAUGGUAAAAGGACACCAGUGAUUGGAGGAAAGCCAGCUCCACUGCAGAGGGACAGUCCUUGGGAUGCACAGACACCCUCUUCCUCAUGCACACACACACACGGCUCACGGCAGGAUGGACCAUGCCUAUAUGAGGGGGGGGGGAGUAUGAGG
ensembl:lncRNA